UACGUAGGGUGCGAGCGUUGUCCGGAAUUAUUGGGCGUAAAGAGCUUGUAGGCGGUCUGUCGCGUCUGCUGUGAAAAUCCGGGGCUCAACCCCGGACUUGCAGUGGGUACGGGCAGACUAGAGUGUGGUAGGGGAGACCGGAAUUCCUGGUGUAGCGGUGAAAUGCGCAGAUAUCAGGAGGAACACCGAUGGCGAAGGCAGGGCUCUGGACAGUUCCUGACACUGAGGCACGAAAGCUAGGGGAGCGAACAGG
rnacentral:rRNA from 1 species